rnacentral:rRNA from 1 species
GGCUCUUUGAAAUUAAUACAUAAAGAGUCGGGCCUGCCCAGUGAUGAAUUUUUUUAACGGCCGCGGUACUCUGACCGUGCGAAGGUAGCAUAAUCAUUUGCCCUAUAAUUGAGGGCUAGUAUGAAUGGUUUGACAUGAGCAUAGCUGUCUCCUUAAAAUUUUAUAAAAUUUGGUUUUUAGGUGAAGAAACCUAAAUUGAAUUGAAAGACAAGAAGACCCUAUCGAGCUUUAGAAUAAUUAAUUAAAAAAUAUAAAUAAAAUAAUUAAUUUUAAUUAAAAACUUUGGUUGGGGCGACUGAGGAACAUACAAAGCUUCCUUAAUUAAAUAAUGCUAAUGAGCAAUGAUCCAGAAAAAUCUGAUUAAAAAAAUUAGUUACCGUAGGGAUAACAGCAUAAUCUUUUUUGAGAGCUCUUAUCGAAAAAAAGGUUUGUGACCUCGAUGUUGGACUAGGAUAUCCUAAAGAUGUAGAAGUCUUUAAUGGUUGCUCUGUUCGAGCAUAAAAAUCCU